rnacentral:lncRNA from 1 species
UAUGUUUUCCCCAUGUGGGACCAGGGUGUGGGCUGGCUGAUGGCUCUGUCUUCCAUGGUCCUCAUCCCCGGGUACAUGGCGUACAUGUUCCUCACCUUAAAGGGCUCCCUGAAGCAGCGCAUCCAAGUCAUGGUCCAGCCCAGCGAAGACAUCGUUCGCCCAGAGAAUGGUCCUGAGCAGCCCCAGGCGGGCAGCUCCACCAGCAAGGAGGCCUACAUCUAGGGUGGGGGCCACUCACCGACCCGACACUCUCACCCCCCGACCUGGCUGAGUGUGACCACCACUUGAUGUCUGAGGAUACCUUCCAUCUCAACCUACCUCGAGUGGCGAGUCCAGACACCAUCACCACGCAGAGAGGGGAGGUGGGAGGACAGUUAGACCCCUGGGUGGGCCCUGCCGUGGGCAAGGAUACCCGGUGGCUUCUGGCACCUGGCGGGCUGGUGACCUUUUUAAUCCAGGCCCCAUCAGCAUCCCACGAUCGGCCUUGGUAACCGCCGCGGUAGAUCAUUUUUAUCCCGCCAGGGAGUGUGAUGCAGCAAGACCACAUGUGCUCCUGGCUUUUAAACCUGUUCCUGACUGUUCUCUUACUGCCGAAACCCUUGACUGUUAUCUCAGACUUUGCAGGAGUUCCUUUCCCUCCGAACGCUGCUCCAUGCACAGGAAAAGGGCAUUUUGUACAAUGGGGACUUCCCGGGAACGCUUGCUCUUAAGUACCAGAAGCCGGCGGAGCUCUGGCUUUCGUGUUUUUGGUUUUCUCCUUCCCAAGGCAGCUGGAUUAAAAAAACAAAACAAAACAAAAAAACCCAGGGGCCUCAGUCGAUAUUCCCAGGGCCGCUUCUCCUGCAGUCUGUGGAGCGUCCUUGUCCCCGCCGCCGGAAUGAAUGAGCAUUCUGCAGCCCGAUGUCCCUGUCCCCUCCUCGCCGGGCCAUUCUGAUUGGACCUGGCCCAGUGCAAUCUGUCCAGACAAGCCCUGCUUGCUGGAAAACUGCCACAAGCACAAUUGAUCUCUUUUUAUCGCCAUUCCAGGGGCCUCAGGUCCUACUGGGGAAACUUCCUAUACCGGAGCUCCAGUUUCUCUUAAGCUGCCCAAUUUCACAGAGUACAAAAUAGUUGUAGGGGAAAUCAAGGUGAAGGAUCUGUCCGACAGUCAAGACGGAUCCACAGUAAUCUUUCGGUCUCCUUAAACUACCACCCUCGCUGCCACCCACCCCAAGCUGCUGCCGCCUCACCUUCCUUGAAAUUUCUCAGCGGGAGUCUCCUCACUGCCACUAAAACCCACCCAGCCCACUAACUGAGGAGCUAGUGUUAAUCCAGAGAACCCCCCGCAAUGUGCUUCCGAGAUUCAGACUGCUUCAUUGGGAAGUAUGAUUUGUUCCUUUCUGGAAUUGGGCUCCGUGGUGGCGGCGGCACUUCAAGCAAAGACAGUUUCUUGCAAGCUCCAGUAGCUCCGCGUGUCUCAUUUGCCAGGAAGAUGGGUUCCCACGUAGCAAAUCGUACAUUGUGCCCUGUAGCUCCUUAGCUAGUUAGCUCACAAGCCGUGUUUUAUGACUAAUCCUUAAUAACUAUGGUAAAUAACUGUGACUGUGGGGUUUUUAAUCUCUUGUCAUUCUCAUCCGAAAGUGACCAGCAUACCAGUUCUUGCAAUAAGAUAUUACCCUCAGAAUAUUAAGCACAUUAUUGUAGAGAAAAAAAAAAUAUGUGUACACAUAUGAACGCACAACAUGCACAUUCAUCCUCACGUGUGGCACGUAAGGUCUCAUUUGAUAUUGUGUAGGAAAUCUGAAGCCUUUUCCUGAGGUCAUCUGUAAAAUAGUCUCAUUGCCAAGGCAUCCCCAGUGCCAGCUGGUGAAUCCAUGAUCAAAAUGCAUACGUAUUGUUAAAUGAUAAGGUUUAGAAUGACAGGAACCCAUCACUGUGUCUCAUGGUCCCACUUCCCCAUCUGUGUGUGAAUUCCUUUAGACUAAGGGCAGGAAGACUUCCAGCUUUCUCUUUGUUCUUCAAUGUGAAACUGAGACCAAGUCUCUCUAAGACAAAUGCAGUGUAUUUAAUGUUUGUAAGCAAUUCUAAGUGAGAUGUUUGGCAAGAAAUCCCCUAACUGAUUUCCAUCCAAACCUACCUUAUAGAGCACAAUAUUAAGUGUUGUACAAUUACUGUGAGAACUGUGAAUAUGUGUAACUUUUUUUUAGUAUUUGCCCGGGGGGAAAAAGAUAUUGUAUUAUCAUAUAUGCUUUUUUUGCAAUAAGGAUUUAUUCUCAGAACACCAAGUAAAUCUAUCUCUAUAUAAAAAAUAUAUGUAAUAUAUACAUAUUCAAAGUAUAUACAGAGCCUGUUUUAAAAAAUACAGUAUUAUUUAGUAAAAUUAUCUGUUCUAUGGACCAAAUGUAAAAUAUUUAUAAAUGAAGAUGCAUUUUAAAUGUCUAUAAAUGGUGUCAUAACUAGAGCACGGGCGUUAUGUAAGUUUCUAAGAAUUUAGAGGAUAAAUAAUAAAGGUUCUAUGAUAUACA